rnacentral:rRNA from 1 species
AUUGAACGCUGGCGGCAUGCCUAACACAUGCAAGUCGAACGGUAACGCGGGGGCAACCCUGGCGACGAGUGGCGGACGGGUGAGUAAUACGUAGGAAUCUGCCCAUUAGUGGGGGAUAACCCGGCGAAAGCCGGGCUAAUACCGCAUACGCUCUACGGAGGAAAGCGGGGGAUCGCAAGACCUCGCGUUAAUGGAUGAGCCUACGUCGGAUUAGCUAGUUGGUAGGGUAACGGCCUACCAAGGCGACGAUCCGUAGCUGGUCUGAGAGGACGAUCAGCCACACUGGGACUGAGACACGGCCCAGACUCCUACGGGAGGCAGCAGUGGGGAAUAUUGGACAAUGGGGGCAACCCUGAUCCAGCAAUGCCGCGUGUGUGAAGAAGGCCUGCGGGUUGUAAAGCACUUUCAGAGGGGAAGAAAAAAUCGGAUCUAACACAUCCGAGCUUGACGUUACCCUUAGAAGAAGCACCGGCUAACUCCGUGCCAGCCGCCGCGGUAAUAC